CAUCCUGGGGCUGUAGUCGGUCCCAAGGGUUGGGCUGUUCGCCCAUUAAAGCGGUACGCGAGCUGGGUUCAGAACGUCGUGAGACAGUUCGGUCCCUAUCCGUCGUGGGCGUAGGAAAUUUGAGAGGAGCUGUCCUUAGUACGAGAGGACCGGGAUGGACAUACCUCUGGUGUACCAGUUGUCGUGCCAACGGCAUAGCUGGGUAGCUAUGUGUGGACGGGAUAAGUGCUGAAAGCAUCUAAGCAUGAAGCCCCCCUCAAGAUGAGAUUUCCCAACUUCGGUUAUAAGAUCCCUCAAAGAUGAUGAGGUUAAUAGGUUCGAGGUGGAAGCAUGGUGACAUGUGGAGCUGACGAAUACUAAUCGAUCGAAGACUUAAUCAAAA
rnacentral:rRNA from 1 species